rnacentral:rRNA from 1 species
UACGUAGGGGGCUAGCGUUGUCCGGAAUCAUUGGGCGUAAAGCGCGCGUAGGCGGCCAGAUAAGUCCGGUGUGAAAGUCACAGGCUCAACCUGUGAAUGCCGCUGGAAACUGUCUGGCUUGAGUCCGGAAGGGGCGAGUGGAAUUCCUGGUGUAGCGGUGAAAUGCGUAGAGAUCGGGAGGAACACCAGUGGCGAAGGCGGCUACCUGGACCAGCACUGACACUGAGGCACGAAAGCGUGGGGAGCAAACAGG